GACGAACGCUGGCGGCGUGCUUAACACAUGCAAGUCGAACGGAAAGGCCCUGCUUUUGUGGGGUGCUCGAGUGGCGAACGGGUGAGUAACACGUGAGUAACCUGCCCUUGACUUUGGGAUAACUUCAGGAAACUGGGGCUAAUACCGGCUAGGAGCUCCUGCUGCAUGGUGGGGGUUGGAAAGUUUCGGCGGUUGGGGAUGGACUCGCGGGUUAUCAGCUUGUUGGUGGGGUAGUUGCUUACCAAGGCUUUGACGGGUAGCCGGCCUGAGAGGGUGACCGGCCACAUUGGGACUGAAAAUCGGCCCAGGCUCCUACGGGAGGCAGCAGUGUGAAAUAUUGCACAAUGGUCGGAAGCCUGUUACAGCAACGCCGCGUGCGGGAUGACGGCCUUCGGGUGGUAAACCGCAUGCACCUGUGACGAAGCGGGAGUGACGGUAAUGGGUAAAAAAGCACCGGCUAACUACGUG
rnacentral:rRNA from 1 species